UGAGGGCAGUCAGUGGGCCUGGGGGAUGCUUGGCUUAGGGAGGGGGCUUAGCUCUAGUUUUCUCUAUCCCUCUCUCCUCCCAGAGACCAUAUCAUCUUAUUCCCUCAGACACAGUUUGCUAAGAAAGCCAAAGAAGGGAAUUAACAUGAAAAAGAGAAUUAUAGGCAAACAGAGACUUGGAUCUGAAGUCAUCCAGUCUGGGACACUUCUAAGAGCAAAAGAUGGCCUCCCAGGCCAGAUCCCAACCACUGAGGAGAGGAAAUAUCCUGAGGAGGAAGAACAUUUUGAGGGGGCACAGAGAAGUGGUCCCUGCCAUGCGUUCUGAGGACCACUAGUUCCCUGAGAUGCUUCCA